UCUAAAUUUUAAAUUUUAAAUUUAAAAUUCUUAGGGUUACUCGCCCUAUGUCAAAGUGCUGGAGCGGCUAGUUCAUGUUUUCCCACUGUAAAGGUAUCAUUUGUCGUGUAGAGUGCAACAGGAUGCUUAAAUAUAAUAUUGUAGACGUUAAACUAGACUGUGGGAGGUCCAGUUGAAUAUUGCAAAUGUUUUUUUUUAUAUUGUCAUGUAUUCGGUGUUCCAUGACCUGUAACUGUGGAUUCUAGAUUUGAUGAACAGGUUCAUUUGACAUCACUCUCGCAACUACACUACAUUUAACUCCUUCUGGAUACCAAGUCCCUCACUAUUGUCUGCAUCUUGCACCUCUGGUCUUCUGUAAUUCUCUUCUAUUCUCUUUUCAUCUUCUGUGUGCUGUUUUAUUCUGUCUUCACUUCUGCACUUCUCAACUGAUUUUCUGUCCUCUUGGUCUCUGACAGUUGGACGGUCCCUUGUUCAAGGGUUCUGUUUCACGUUUUCGAUGCAACAAUAGCUAGUGUAUUUGUUACCGCAGGGACUGCACUUGUACUGGUUUUCAUUUCCGUGGUAACCCUCUGUUAUACAUGCGUUGUCGCAUGAACAUCUUUAAUUUCCACCCAGACAACAAUGGAAGAACGUGACUACCGAGCUGUUGUCUAGCAAUGGAAGCCCCCUCUGACUCAGAUAUUUUGGUUUUAGGUGGCACGCUACACUAUAUUUGUUUCAUGAAGCAGUAAAUGUAUCAAACAGCAUGAUGAAAUUUGUAAUCCUGCUUUUUUAUAUGAUGACAAGAAUUUCUCAGAUUGUUGAAGAAUGUGUGAGGACGGUGAAAGGAUCAGAGUGUAUAAUCACGAAUGAAUGGACGCAUGUUGUAUAUAAUGCUAUUACAUAUUUAUACUUUCAUCACGUGGUGAAUACCCCAGACAGCAGUCCAUGUAAUGGCACAAAAUAUAGUAAAAACAUGAUAUUAAUUUUCUUAGAGUUCAGUGGAAAUGUAGAUCAUACAAGUUGAACACCUGCUGCAUCUAGAUAGUUUUUCAAGUAUGCACGAUUAGCAUCUGAGAGACC